rnacentral:rRNA from 1 species
AUUGAACGCUGGCGGCAGGCCUAACACAUGCAAGUCGAGCGGUAGAGAGAAGCUUGCUUCUCUUGAGAGCGGCGGACGGGUGAGUAAUGCCUAGGAAUCUGCCUGGUAGUGGGGGAUAACGUUCGGAAACGGACGCUAAUACCGCAUACGUCCUACGGGAGAAAGCAGGGGACCUUCGGGCCUUGCGCUAUCAGAUGAGCCUAGGUCGGAUUAGCUAGUUGGUGAGGUAAUGGCUCACCAAGGCGACGAUCCGUAACUGGUCUGAGAGGAUGAUCAGUCACACUGGAACUGAGACACGGUCCAGACUCCUACGGGAGGCAGU